rnacentral:rRNA from 1 species
GACGUAGGGGGCGAGCGUUGUCCGGAGUCACUGGGCGUAAAGGGUGCGUAGGCGGGUCUUUAAGUCAGGGGUGAAAUCCUGGAGCUCAACUCCAGAACUGCCUUUGAUACUGAAGAUCUUGAGUUCGGGAGAGGUGAGUGGAACUGCGAGUGUAGAGGUGAAAUUCGUAGAUAUUCGCAAGAACACCAGUGGCGAAGGCGGCUCUCUGGCCCGAUACUGACGCUGAGGCACGAAAGCGUGGGGAGCAAACAGG